rnacentral:rRNA from 1 species
CAGCCGCCGCGGUAAUACGAACCGUGCGAACGUUAUUCGGAAUCACUGGGCUUAAAGCGCGUGUAGGCGGGCCGCCACGUCGGCUGCUGAAAUCCCCCGGCUCAACCGGGGAAGUGGCACCGAUACGAGCGGCCUGGAGGGGGGUAGGGGGGACUGGAACUUCCGGUGGAGCGGUGAAAUGCGUUGAGAUCGGAAGGAACGCCCGUGGCGAAAGCGAGUCCCUGGACCCUUACUGACGCUGAGACGCGAAAGCCAGGGGAGCGAACGGGAUUAGAUACCCCGGUAGUCCCUGUCUCUUAUA